GGUAAAAUGGCUGAUAGUAGGCGAUAGACUGUAAAUUUAUUUAGGAAAAUUUUUUUCUUUUACCA
rnacentral:tRNA from 1 species